AAGGUUGACCUCGGAUCAGGUAGGAAUACCCGCUGAACUUAAGCAUAUCAAUAAGCGGAGGAAAAGAAACAACAGGGAUUGCUCAGUAACGGCGAGUGAAGCGGCAACAGCUCAAAUUUGAAAUCUGGCCGCAAGGUCCGAGUUGUAAUUUGUAGAGGAUGCUUUUGGCGAGGUGCCUUCCGAGUUCCCUGGAACGGGACGCCAUAGAGGGUGAGAGCCCCGUACGGUAGGACCACCAAGCCUCUGUAAAGCUCCUUCGACGAGUCGAGUAGUUUGGGAAUGCUGCUCUAAAUGGGAGGUGUACGUCUUCUAAAGCUAAAUACCGGCCAGAGACCGAUAGCGCACAAGUAGAGUGAUCGAAAGAUGAAAAGCACUUUGAAAAGAGGGUUAAAAAGUACGUGAAAUUGUUGAAAGGGAAGCAUUCAUGACCAGACUUGGGCUUGGUUGAACAUCCGGCGUUCUCGCCGGUGCACUCUGCCAGUCCAGGCCAGCAUCAGUUUGCCCCGGGGGAUAAAGGCGGCGGGAAUGUGGCUCCCUUCGGGGAGUGUUAUAGCCCGUCGUGUAAUGCCCUGGGGCGGACUGAGGAACGCGCUUCGGCACGGAUGCUGGCGUAAUGGUCAUCAAUGACCCGUCUUGAAACACGGACCAAGGAGUCGUCUUCGUAUGCGAGUGUUCGGGUGUCAAACCCCUACGCGUAAUGAAAGUGAACGUAGGUGAGAGCUUCGGCGCAUCACCGACCGAUCCUGAUGUUCUCGGAUGGAUUUGAGUAAGAGCAUACGGGGCCGGACCCGAAAGAAGGUGAACUAUGCCUGUAUAGGGUGAAGCCAGAGGAAACUCUGGUGGAGGCUCGCAGCGGUUCUGACGUGCAAAUCGAUCGUCAAAUAUGGGCAUGGGGGCGAAAGACUAAUCGAACCUUCUAGUAGCUGUUUCC
rnacentral:rRNA from 1 species